GAUAUGAUAUUUAUUGCCGUAUUUGUCGUGUUAGAAUUGAGGGGGAUUUGAGUAUGGCAACGGCUGGCUUUUGCUAUGCCUUACUGUCCCUUGCAACCUCAAUCAACACCACAAACUUUUUCACUUCCCUUCAGGAGGUUAAUUCUCUCCGCUUCAUUUGGCUGAUAUUUCCAUGGAUAUCGGACAUCGUACAUUGCACUGUCAUAUCUAAACUAUUCUGAUCAGAGGCCGACUUUGGAAGGUAAAAAGAUUCGAGACUGGUUUCUCAGGGAUCAGUGACAGCACAACACUGGUCUGUUGAUGACAAUAUUUAGCUUGGGAACCAACAGCCCGUAUUCAUGAUUCUUUCGUCGAUUUCAAUUGGUGACUUCAUGGUCCAGCUUCGGUCUAGAUAUGCUUUGAAAGGCCUCAACAGGCAUUGCUUUUCAUCAUCUAUUAUCACAUCGCAGCACUCCUAUAUAAAUACGUUAGC
rnacentral:sRNA from 1 species